UUUUAGGCAAAUGCUGCAUAUUUUGUUAUGUAGAGGAAAGUCCAUGCUCACACAAUCUGUGAUUGAUUGUAGUGUUCGUGCCUAAGGAAACAAUAACUUAGGGUAGCGUAAGCUAACGGCAUCGAGGAGGCCUUAAAUGGUUUUAGUAGAUAUAAAGUGCCAUAGAGACGAGUUGCUUUGGAAACGAAGCAAGUGGAACGCGGUAAACCCCACGAGUGAGAAACCCAAAUUUUGGUAGGGGAGCUUUCAUGAUGGAAUCAAACAAAAUGAGAGCCUAUAUAUAGGAGAUAAAUAUUUGCCACUUUACGUAAGUAGAGUACAGAACAUGGCUUAUU
rnacentral:RNase_P_RNA from 1 species